GAGAACAACAGCUCCAAAGCGCACUGGAGAACUUCCUGAAGUCCAUCUGACGGAUGUGACGAUUAAGAAGCUCUGCCUCAAAAACUGCAUGGAUCUGAACGAGUGACUCAGAAUCAGGGCAGUUUUCUGCCUCAUUAAUAUCUGCUGAGAGAUUGAUGGCUGCUGGAAUGGCUGCAGUGAUUGGAGUGAUUGCUGACAUGCAAGUAGCAGUAACUAAUUCCUGGUGAGAGGGAGGAGCAAAACGACCUCGCUAACAUACUGAUCUCAGCAAUUUUAUUUCAUCAUAGAUGACAGCUUACCAGCUACAAUCCCAACCAAACUGAGCUGCUCUAUAUCCCUAGACAUGCAUAAAAUAUUUUCUGGACAAUAUUGAGAUCGCACCACCUGACAAUCAACUAUUCUUCCUGCCUCUCGUCACUAACUGAAUCAGUCAUGCGGGUUUCUUCUUUACAACACUAAGAGGAUCUGGCUUUUCAGUCCACGGGGUCCAACGGGGCGUCCGCGUGGAUAAAAAGACCCAAAUGCAGCAUAGCAAAAAACACGAUUUAUUAAACGAGACACAAACAAAACCGGGAAACACUUUGGGGAAAAGAAACGCGAAACUCAAAAAACAAGACACGGAGACAUUCAGAGGCCAAACAAAGACGAGGAUUCCCGUGAACACAAAACGUAACAAAGCAUAACAAAAAGACAUGUCAAAGUUUGGGCUAGAUCCUGACACACAGAGGCCACUCGGGUACUUGUUCGGCCCCUUUGACAUUCCCAGGACUACUGGUUGGUCUGUCUCUGUGCACCAUGUGGCCCUUGCACCCACCCAAGCACUUAUCAUGCCCUGCUCUGCAACAGGCUCCCGUUGAGCUUCUACCAAGCCUGGACUUGACCCGCUAUCCUUCAAGAUACAAAGAUGACAAAACUCUGUCUGUCUGUCUGCUGAAUCAUUGGUGGCCUUCAAACAAAGACUGAGGACCUACCAAAUACUUGCAUUAACAUUUCUAUUAAAACAUCCCCUGUCUUGUGUGUUUUCUUUCACUAUUUACCAUCUCCUCCAUUGGGGGUUAAGCUUGAUGAUGUUUUAAUCCCUGACCUAGUGAAUUAGCACACGGAUAUGUUUCGAUAGAGUUCGAUUCAAUUCAAUUUGGGACAACAUCUCAUAAUGCUUGUGAGAAGGAGCUGCUUGUGUUAAAGUGACAUGUAACAGUAGGGGUGAGUAGUGUGUACUGUACUUGCCCCACUUGGUAGAAUGAUGGUCACAUGUUAGAUGUCCCACUGCUCGAUAAGGUGAUGAUCAUCUCCUAUACGAAGGGGUUUCUAUAUUAGAGUUCUUGUUCCAGUGCUAUGUUCCAGCAAUAUGCCAUGUGUACAAAAAAAGGUGUGCACCAUAUUUUGCAAUUUCUCACUAAAAUGACAUCAGUGUUUCUAAAUUCAGUGCUUCUGGUGCAAAUACAGUACAAGCAAUAAGAACAGGUAUAGAGCUGUCAUAUUAAAGCUCUGUCCAGAGGAAAAUGCUGUAGUCUUAUAGACUACUGUACAUCCAACCAAUCAGGAAAUAGAGGCAUCUUUACUUACCUGUUAUAUGUCAGUUCUGAAGUAUUCUCUC